ACGGAAGGCAGCAGUGGGGAAUAUUGGACAAUGGGGGCAACCCUGAUCCAGCGACGCCGCGUGAGUGAAGAAAUAUUUCGGUAUGUAAGGCUCUAUCAGCAGGGAAGAAAAUGACGGUACCUGACUAAGAAGCACCGGCUAAAUACGUGCCAGCAGCCGCGGUAAUACGUAUGGUGCAAGCGUUAUUCGGAUUUACUGGGUGUAAAGGGAGCGUAGACGGCAUGGCAAGUCUGAAGUGAAAUGCGGGGGCUCAACCCCUGAACUGCUUUGGAAACUGUCAAGCUAGGGUGUCGGAGAGGUAAGUGGAAUUCCUAGUGUAGCGGUGAAAUGCGUAGAUAUUAGGAGGAACACCGGUGGCGAAGGCGGCUUACUGGACGAUAACUGACGUUGAGGCUCGAAAGCGUGGGGAGCAAACAGGAUUAGAUACCCUGGUA
rnacentral:rRNA from 1 species